GACGAACGCUGGCGGCGUGCUUAACACAUGCAAGUCGAACGGAGUUACGUAUGAAGUAUUUCGGUACGGACUACAUAACUUAGUGGCGAACGGGUGAGUAACACGUGGGCAACCUGCCCUUAACCGGGGGAUAACAUUGUGAAAACAGUGCUAAUACCGCAUAACAGAGUAUCGGGCAUCCGAUAUUUUUAAAAGGAGCAAUCCGGUUUAGGAUGGGGCCCGCGUCCAAUUAGCUAGUUGGUGAGGUAACGGCUCACCAAGGCUACGAUUGGUAGCCGAACUGAGAGGUUGAUCGGCCACAUUGGGACUGAGACACGGCCCAGACUCCUACGGGAGGCAGCAGUGGGGAAUAUUGGGCAAUGGGCGAAAGCCUGACCCAGCGACGCCGCGUGAAGGAUGAAGGUCUUCGGAUUGUAAACUUCUUUGAUCAGGGAAGAAAGAAAUGACGGUACCUGAAGAACAAGCCACGGCUAACUACGUG
rnacentral:rRNA from 1 species